AACUCUGUUAUUAGGGAAGAACAAAUGUGUAAGUAACUAUGCACGUCUUGACGGUACCUAAUCAGAAAGCCACGGCUAACUACGUGCCAGCAGCCGCGGUAAUACGUAGGUGGCAAGCGUUAUCCGGAAUUAUUGGGCGUAAAGCGCGCGUAGGCGGUUUUUUAAGUCUGAUGUGAAAGCCCACGGCUCAACCGUGGAGGGUCAUUGGAAACUGGAAAACUUGAGUGCAGAAGAGGAA
rnacentral:rRNA from 1 species